UUGAACGCUGGCGGCAGGCCUAACACAUGCAAGUCGAGCGGUAGCACAGAGAGCUUGCUCUCGGGUGACGAGCGGCGGACGGGUGAGUAAUGUCUGGGAAACUGCCUGAUGGAGGGGGAUAACUACUGGAAACGGUAGCUAAUACCGCAUAAUGUCGCAAGACCAAAGUGGGGGACCUUCGGGCCUCAUGCCAUCAGAUGUGCCCAGAUGGGAUUAGCUAGUAGGUGGGGUAACGGCUCACCUAGGCGACGAUCCCUAGCUGGUCUGAGAGGAUGACCAGCCACACUGGAACUGAGACACGGUCCAGACUCCUACGGGAGGCAGCAGUGGGGAAUAUUGCACAAUGGGCGCAAGCCUGAUGCAGCCAUGCCGCGUGUGUGAAGAAGGCCUUCGGGUUGUAAAGCACUUUCAGCGGGGAGGAAGGCGUUAAGGUUAAUAACCUUGGCGAUUGACGUUACCCGCAGAAGAAGCACCGGCUAACUCCGUGCCAGCAGCCGCGGUAAUACGGAGGGUGCAAGCGUUAAUCGGAAUUACUGGGCGUAAAGCGCACGCAGGCGGUCUGUCAAGUCGGAUGUGAAAUCCCCGGGCUCAACCUGGGAACUGCAUCUGAUACUGGCAAGCUUGAGUCUCGUAGAGGGGGGUAGAAUUCCAGGUGUAGCGGUGAAAUGCGUAGAGAUCUGGAGGAAUACCGGUGGCGAAGGCGGCCCCCUGGACGAAGACUGACGCUCAGGUGCGAAAGCGUGGGGAGCAAACAGGAUUAGAUACCCUGGUAGUCCACGCCGUAAACGAUGUCGAUUUGGAGGUUGUGCCCUUGAGGCGUGGCUUCCGGAGCUAACGCGUUAAAUCGACCGCCUGGGGAGUACGGCCGCAAGGUUAAAACUCAAAUGAAUUGACGGGGGCCCGCACAAGCGGUGGAGCAUGUGGUUUAAUUCGAUGCAACGCGAAGAACCUUACCUGGUCUUGACAUCCACAGAACUUUCCAGAGAUGGAUUGGUGCCUUCGGGAACUGUGAGACAGGUGCUGCAUGGCUGUCGUCAGCUCGUGUUGUGAAAUGUUGGGUUAAGUCCCGCAACGAGCGCAACCCUUAUCCUUUGUUGCCAGCGGUUCGGCCGGGAACUCAAAGGAGACUGCCAGUGAUAAACUGGAGGAAGGUGGGGAUGACGUCAAGUCAUCAUGGCCCUUACGACCAGGGCUACACACGUGCUACAAUGGCAUAUACAAAGAGAAGCGACCUCGCGAGAGCAAGCGGACCUCAUAAAGUAUGUCGUAGUCCGGAUUGGAGUCUGCAACUCGACUCCAUGAAGUCGGAAUCGCUAGUAAUCGUAGAUCAGAAUGCUACGGUGAAUACGUUCCCGGGCCUUGUACACACCGCCCGUCACACCAUGGGAGUGGGUUGCAAAAGAAGUAGGUAGCUUAACCUUCGGGAGGGCGCUUACCACUUUGUGAUUCAUGACUGGGGUG
rnacentral:rRNA from 1 species